rnacentral:misc_RNA from 1 species
GAUGAAGAACGCAGCGAAAUGCGAUACGUAAUGUGAAUUGCAGAUUUCAGUGAAUCAUCGAAUCUUUGAACGCACAUUGCGCCCGCCAGUAUUCUGGCGGGCAUGCCUGUUCGAGCGUCAUUUCAACCAUCAAGCCUUCGCUUGUGUUGGGGCCCCGCGGCUGCCGCGGUCCCCUAAAUCCAGUGGCGGGCUCGUCGUCGUACCGAGCGCAGUAGACAUCCUCGCUCCGGGAACCCGACGGGUGCCGGCCGUGAAACCCCCCACAUCAAGGUUGACCUCGGAUCAGGUAGGAAUACCCGCUGAACUUAAGCAUAUAAUAAGCGGAGGA